UGUGCUUGGCACCCCAGAAAUACCAACAUAGCUAAAUAACCCUGCCUGCCUUUGAAGAGCUUAUAAUUUUGUAUCAGAAGAUGAAGCAGGCAGAAUGAUAUCUGUUGUAAGAAAGGUGCAGGAAAGUACUGUGGGGAAUUAAUGGAAGGAGAGAUAACAUUUUGUCGGGUAGAAGAAGUGAAAAAGCACCAACACUGUUUAGCAUUUAGCUCCUCUGGACCCCAAAGCCAGACUUACUACAUUUGCUUUGAUACUUUCACAGAAUACUUAAGGUGGCUGCGUCAAGUCUCCAAGGUUGCAUCCCAGCGCAUUAGCUCAGUGGACCUCUCAUGUUGUAGCCUGGAACAUCUGCCUGCCAACCUCUUCUACAGCCAAGACCUCACUCAUCUGAAUUUAAAACAAAACUUCCUAAGGCAAAACCCUAGCCUUCCAGCUGUCAGGGGGCUUAAUGAACUGCAAAGCUCCAUUCCUCACCAUAGGACACUGCAGCCCAUAUGUCCAAGCUCUGCCCAUGCUAGGGCACAUGGGUGCACACACUGGUGGGAGGAU
rnacentral:sRNA from 1 species